rfam:Termite gut metagenome tgut2b_Contig6745, whole genome shotgun sequence.
AAUUGCUUCGUACCGUCUUCGGAAACACCCUGUACUAUAGGCGCGAACUGGUCAGGGUUUUCCGGCUGUACGGUACGACUCGGGCAAAGGAUUGCUCGGGUAUUU